rnacentral:rRNA from 1 species
AGAGUUUGAUCAUGGCUCAGGAUGAAUGCUGGCGGCAUGCCUAAUACAUGCAAGUCGAGCGGUAACAGGACUAGCUUGCUAGUUGCUGACGAGCGGCGGACGGCUGAGUAACGCAUGGGAACGCACCCCAAACUGAGGGAUAACUAGUCGAAAGAUUAGCUAAUACCGCAUGUGAUCUUCGGAUUAAAGCUUUCGGGCGGUUUGGGAGCGGCCUGUGUACGAUUAGCUAGUUGGUGAGGUAAUGGCUCACCAAGGCGACGAUCGUUAGAUGGUUUGAGAGGAUGAUCAUCCAGACUGGAACUGAGACACGGUCCAGACUCCUACGGGAGGCAGCAGUAGGGAAUCUUUCACAAUGGGCGAAAGCCUGAUGGAAGCAAUGCCGCGUGCAGGACGAAGGCCUUCGGGUUGUAAACUGCUUUUAUAAGCGAGGAAUAUGACGGUAACUUAUGAAUAAGGAUCGGCUAACUACGUGCCAGCCGCUGC